CAAAUUCUUACAGCUCCCUCAUCAAAAGGGGUUAUUCACAAUAAAGGGCCUGAAUUUUUAUUUUACAAUUACAGCCCGUACUAUAGUAUUUGUUGCAAUUAUAGCCAAGCCAGUUAAAUAUAAUCAGUCACAUCUAAAAUCGUUACUAAUAUGGCUAUUAUAGAGUAUAUGUUAACAUGAAGAUAACGCUAUUGAUAUUAAACUAAUAAAUUUAUUAAUUUGUUUAAUUUUUCCAUUUCUGUGUUAAUUUUACAGGUAAUCAAAUGAAUUUAGGUGGUUUGGGCAAUACAUAAGUAUAGGCUAUAAUUGCAUAUCCUUAAAGUUUAGGCUCUUUUUGUGUAUGGAAAAGUUCAGGCCUGUUUUGUGAUGGAAUAAAGUUUAAAUUUGCCCCUAUACUUUUCAAAGAGGUUCAAAUAAGCCCAUUUUUAACUUUUUGACUAAAUAAACCUAGUACUUUUUAUUUAUGUUCAAAUUACUCCUAACUUAAUAAAAUGUUAUUUUCUUUCUAAUUUUUAAAUAUUAUAAAUUAUUUAGUAUUUUUAAUUAAAAUAAAAAUUAAAAACAUAAAAAAUUUCAAGAACAUGAGAACCCUAACUAAAUAAACCCAGUAAUUCAAAUCCAAAAUAUCCAAUUAAAACACAACCAUUCAAGAACAAGAAUUCUAACCCAACCAUUCAAAACCAGCAACUCAAGAACAACAAUUCUUUAUUUUGAUCCUAAACUGCAAAAUUGAGGCCUGAUGUUUUUGGCAUUGUGAAAUAUGUCCAAUUCCAGUUUCUUUCAUCUUUGAUAUCCAUCCAACUACAACAAAUUUUGUCAUUCCUUCAUAAGCUUCCUCCUAGCUGGUGACUGCUUCAGCCAUUCGAACAGCCAGCAAUGGAAGUAGAAUCUCCAACCCAACCAAACCUCUAGACCGCACCCUUCAAAAAAGGCACCAAGC
rnacentral:misc_RNA from 1 species